GGGAGCGUUACUGACGCUUAAGCUCGAAAGCGCGGGUAUCGAACAGGAUUAGAUACCCUGGUAGUCCGCGCGGUAAACGAUGGAUGCCCGCUGUUUGCGUCUAACGUAAGCGGCCAAGUGAAAACGUUAAGCAUCCCACCUGGGGAGUACGCCGGCAACGGUGAAACUCAAAGGAAUUGACGGGGGCCCGCACAAGCGGAGGAACAUGUGGUUUAAUUCGAUGAUACGCGAGGAACCUUACCCGGGCUUGAAUUGCUGAGGAAAGAUCCAGAGAUGGUGAUGCCCUUCGGGGCCUCAGUGAAGGUGCUGCAUGGUUGUCGUCAGCUCGUGCCGUGAGGUGUCGGCUUAAGUGCCAUAACGAGCGCAACCCCUCUCUUCAGUUGCCAUCAGGCUAUGCUGGGCACUCUGGAGACACUGCCACCGCAAGGUGUGAGGAAGGUGGGGGUGACGUCAAAUCAGCACGGCCCUUACGUCCGGGGCUACACACGUGUUACAAUGGGGGGCACAGAGAGCCGGGUGCGCGCAAGCUUGCCCAAAUCCUUAAAUCCCCCCACAGUUCGGACUGGGGUCUGCAACCCGACCCCACGAAGCUGGAUUCGCU
rnacentral:rRNA from 1 species